rnacentral:rRNA from 1 species
GAUGAACGCUGGCGGCGUGCCUAAUACAUGCAAGUCGAGCGAACGGACGAGAAGCUUGCUUUUCUGAUGUUAGCGGCGGACGGGUGAGUAACACGUGGAUAACCUACCUAUAAGACUGGGAUAACUUCGGGAAACCGGAGCUAAUACCGGAUAAUAUUUUGAACCGCAUGGUUCAAAAGUGAAAGACGGUCUUGCUGUCACUUAUAGAUGGAUCCGCGCUGCAUUAGCUAGUUGGUAAGGUAACGGCUUACCAAGGCAACGAUGCAUAGCCGACCUGAGAGGGUAUCCGGCCAAACGGGAACUGAGCCGGGGCCCAACUCCCGACGGAGGGCGGCGGGGGGAAAUCUCCCGAAAUGGGGAAAAGCCUAAAGGAGAAAGCCGGGGGUGGGGAAAAGGUGUUUGGGUUCGAAAAACAUUGUUAUGGGGAAAAAAAAAAGUGGAAAAAAACUGUGCACUUUUGAGCGAACCCAAAGCAGAAACCCACGGCAAACAAGUG